rnacentral:rRNA from 1 species
UUAGUUUAUAUUUAUUAAUUGAAUUUUAACUAUUUUUAAAAUUUAAAUAUAUUAAAAGUAUUUAUAAUAAUUAAUUUUUUAGUAUUGUUAAGAAAUAAUAAUUUUAAUAAUAGAGUAAUAGUAUUGUGAAAGAAAAUUGAAAUAAAUGAAAAAUUAAUAUAUUAAUAGAAAUAUUAGUUUUUUGUACCUUGUGUAUCAGGGUUUAUCAAAUAAAAAAUAUAAUUAAUAUUUUUCUCGAUUUUAAAAGAUUUAAUAUAUUAUAAAAGUUAAUGUAAUAAAAUUAUUUUAAAUAAUAUAUUAGAAAUGAAAUGUUAUUCGUUUUUAAAGGUAUCUAGUUUUUGAAGAAAUAAAUUUAAUUUACAAUUAUAAAUUUAUUUAAUUGUUUUUUUAAUUAAAUAAUUUAUGAAUUGAAUAUUUUACGGGAUAAGCUGUAAAAUAAAAUUUUAUAAAUAAUAAAUAAAUUAAAAAAAAUAUAUGCUUAUAAUUAGCAAUUGUUAGUAAGUUUGUUAUAAAUUAUUUUAUUUUUAUAAUUAUUUAUUGAAUUUUAAAUUUUUAUUCAAAUAUUUAUUUUAAUUAAUAAGAUAAAUAAAAAAUGAUAAAAUUAGUAUAUUUAUUGUAAAGAUAAUUUUAAAUGAUAAGUUAGUAUAAAGAAUUCGGCAAAAUUUUAAUGUUCGCCUGUUUAACAAAAACAUGUCUUAUUGAAUUUUAUUUUAAGUCUAACCUGCCCACUGAAAAUUUAAAUGGCCGCAGUAUUUUGACUGUGCAAAGGUAGCAUAAUCAUUAGUCUUUUAAUUGAAGGCUUGUAUGAAUGGUUGGACGAAAUAUUAACUGUUUCAUAUUAAUUUUUAGUAGAAUUUUAUUUUUUAGUUAAAAAGCUAAAAUUUAAUUAAAAGACGAGAAGACCCUAUAAAUCUUUAUAUUUAUUAUAUUAUUAAUUUGAAAGAUUAGUUAUGUUAUUAUUAUAAUAAAUAUUUUAUUGGGGUGAUAUUAAAAUUUAAAUAACUUUUAAUUUUUAUAACAUAAAUUUAUGGAUUGUUGAUCUUAUAUUAUGGAUUAUUAGAAUAAGUUACUUUAGGGAUAACAGCGUAAUUUUUUUGGAGAGUUCAUAUCGAUAAAAAAGAUUGCGACCUCGAUGUUGGAUUAAGAUAAAGUUUUGGGUGUAGAAGCUUAAAUUUUUAGUCUGUUCGACUUUUAAAUUCUUACAUGAUCUGAGUUCAAACCGGUGUAAGCCAGGUUGGUUUCUAUCUUUAAUAAGUUAAUAUAUUUUAGUACGAAAGGACCAAAUAUAUAAAUUAAUAAUUUUUAAAUAAGAAUAUAAUUAAUUA